rnacentral:rRNA from 1 species
CACGUAGGGCGCAAGCGUUGUCCGGAAUUAUUGGGCGUAAAGAGCUCGUAGGUGGCUUGUUACGUCCGCUGUGAAAUCCUAGGGCUUAACCCUGGGCUUGCAGUGGAUACGGGCAGACUAGAGGUAGGUAGGGGAGAAUGGAAUUCCUGGUGUAGCGGUGAAAUUCGUAGAUAUCAGGAGGAACACCAGUGGCGAAGGCGGCUUUCUGGACGGUAACUGACGCUGAGACGCGAAAGCGUGGGGAGCAAACAGG